rnacentral:lncRNA from 1 species
CCCAUCCUCCAACUCUUACAUUCAUUCUGCCCCCUCUUCCACAAUGUCCCCCGAGCCUCAAAAGGGGUAAUUGUAGGUACCCUGUUUAGGCCUGAGCACUUAGCAGUCACUAAUCCUUACCACUGUCUUCGAUUAUGAGUUUGCAUUGAUAACUGUGAUAGCUGCCCACUUCAAAAAGAAACGUCUCCGGCCCCAGCUGAGAGCAGUCCAUCUAUAAUAAAUCCUGAAAUUCUAACCUCCAGUACUGACCUCUCCUGAAUACUUACCUCAUGGCUUUGGUUUUCAGAAAUCAUGAGGUCCAACGGAUUUUGUUUGGCAAACACAGAAACAAUAGUCAUUGACCACAGCAUACCCAAUGGGAAGGACCAGCUCCUGGAUGCGGAUUCCACAGAGCAUUUGUUUGAGAAUGGUGGUGAGUUCACCUCAGAGUUGGAAGAUGGUGAUGACCCAGCAGCUUACGUCACCAACUUGUCCUAUUACCAUCUGGUUCCAUUUGAGACGGACAUUUUGGACUGAGCCUCUCCACAGGGCCUUGUCUGCCUCUAUUCUUGACUGCAUGUCCUCUUGCUAUCUACUGUGUGUCCCCAAGGGCCAACGCUGCUGUUCACCUGGGCCUCUGAGGGCCCUGAAGUUCAACAGGCCUGGGUUUUUAGAAAGCGGAGGAGGCACAAGGGAUCUUGAUGACCACAGGCAGCUCUGAGGGCCUUCUCCCUGCACUCAGCCUGCCUUUUAUGGGACACACUAUUCCUGCAGACCAUGCUUCCUCUUGUCUCUGCUGGCUUGGGGAGCAUUCCUCUUGGUCACAUGGCCCUGACUCCCCACUUUUCUCUUGUGUAUCAAAGGCACUAAGCUUUUCAAGA